rnacentral:rRNA from 1 species
UACGGGGGGGGCAAGCGUUGUUCGGAAUUACUGGGCGUAAAGGGCUCGUAGGCGGCCAACUAAGUCGGAUGUGAAAUCCCCAGGCUCAACUUGGGAACUGCAUCCGAUACUGGAUGGCUUGAAUUCGGGAGAGGGAUGCAGAAUUCCAGGUGUAGCGGUGAAAUGCGUAGAUAUCUGGAGGAAUACCGGUGGCGAAGGCAGGUCUCUGGGCUGACACUGACGCUCAUGCACGAAAGCGUGGGGAGCAAACAGG